rnacentral:lncRNA from 1 species
CCUGUUUGAGCAUCCUGAUUCCACUCUCCCACCCUCCCAGAGCUUAACUGUUUCUUUCCAGCCCUAUUCCCCCUGCUUAAUGGGACAAUAAGAAAUUGGAUCAUACAGAGCUGGAGCCUUAUCUGAUCAGCCUACAGUGAGAGUCGCCCAGAAGUACCCCCAACAACUACUACCAGGAAUUCUUUACCAACUUUCCCCCUUUACUGGGCUUCAAUGCAAUGAGAGAUACAGCAUCACACCUUGGGGAGGAAAAUAAACUCCCCUUCUCCCAGGAGGCAUACACAGAGUAACUUUCUGUUAUAAGCUCAAGACCCCCAUCACAGGUAAGUCUUAUGUUAUAGCCUGUCUUUAAAGGAAACCCUCCUUGAUCUUCUGAUCCAGGCUUGGUCAUGGACAGUGAGCCAUGGGUGUCAUAAGUGCCUUCAAACACAGGGGUGAAACGAAAUUAUUGCUUCC